rnacentral:rRNA from 1 species
CAGUAGCCGCGGUAAUACGAGGGGGGCAAGCGUUGUUCGGAAUUAUUGGGCGUAAAGGGCGCGUAGGCGGGUUUUUAAGUCAGAGGUGAAAUCCCAAGGCCCAACCUUGGAACUGCCUUUGAUACUGGAAAUCUUGAGUCCGGGAGAGGUGAGUGGAACUGCGAGUGUAGAGGUGAAAUUCGUAGAUAUUCGCAAGAACACCAGUGGCGAAGGCGGCUCACUGGCCCGGUACUGACGCUGAAGCGCGAAAGCGUGGGGAGCAAACAGGAUUAGAUACCCCCGUAGUCCCUGUCUCUUAUAC